GGCUUUGCUCCUCUCAAGCAGCAACACUCCAACCUAUGCAUGUUUGGAUAAUCAUUGCUUGUGAGGGUUUAACAAGGUCAGAGUGCAAAUCCUACUUCAAUCUCAAUUAGUCACAUUCUAUGACAUGCAGUGGAAACACUGGGUCUAUUCUUUGACAUGCUGGUCCACACAAAGCAUAUGUACCUAUUAAAACGUAUCCAAAAAGAAGACAACUACCACCAGAAAUGUAGAUUUGGAGUAUCCAUGACAAAAGUUGACCUCAAAACAAACUGCAGUCUGAACUGGGCUUGCAUGCAUUACCAAGACAUUGAAGAGAGCUGAUCAAGAAGUUUUCUUAAGAACAAAAUACACCAUUUGACUGUGGCCAUACUGGAGCACCACCUUUCGUUA
rnacentral:lncRNA from 1 species